rnacentral:rRNA from 1 species
AUUGAACGCUGGCGGAAUGCUUUACACAUGCAAGUCGAACGGCAGCACGGACUUCGGUCUGGUGGCGAGUGGCGAACGGGUGAGUAAUGUAUCGGAACGUGCCCAGUCGUGGGGGAUAACGUAGUGAAAAUUACGCUAAUGCCGCAUACGACCUAUGGAUGAAAGCGGGGGAUCGCAAGACCUCGCGCGAUUGGAGCCGCCGAUAUCAGAUUAGGUAGUUGGUGGGGUAAAGGCCCACCAAGCCAACGAUCUGUAGCUGGUCUGACAGGACGACCAGCCACACUGGAACUGAGACACGGUCCAGACUCCUACGGGAGGCAGCAGUGGGGAAUUUUGGACAAUGGGCGAAAGCCUGAUCCAGCCAUUCCGCGUGCAGGAUGAAGGCCCUCGGGUUGUAAACUGCUUUUGUACAGAACGAAAAGGUUUCUACUAAUACUAGGAGCUCAUGACGGUACUGUAAGAAUAAGCACCGGCUAACUACGUGCCAGCAGCCGCAGUAA